rnacentral:rRNA from 1 species
UGGGACCAAUGCAUGCCUCAGUAGCGGCGAGUGAAGCGGCAAGAGCUCAGAUUUGAAAUCGUGCUUUGCGGCACGAGUUGUAGAUUGCAGGUUGGAGUCUGUGUGGAAGGCGGUGUCCAAGUCCCUUGGAACAGGGCGCCCAGGAGGGUGAGAGCCCCGUGGGAUGCCGGCGGAAGCAGUGAGGCCCUUCUGACGAGUCGAGUUGUUUGGGAAU